AGCCUUGUCAAAUAGGUGUUCUUGGGCGGCGAAAUUUCUUAUAAUAUGACUGUGUAAGAGACGUGGACAGACAGUUGAAGAUAAACAAUGAUAAGGAUAAACAAUUAGAACGAACAAGACCGUUUCAAUGGUUAACGACGGAUAGUGAGUGAUUACCAAGGAAGAGAAAAGAAGAGGAGGCGGAAAAGUAUAGGAAUAGCACAAGGCAGCACCCCCUCACCCCCCAUACACCUAUGAAGAACUAUUAGACAACCAGGUGAGCUUCCAGGUUCCCCGAUGCUGCUGGUGAUGUGACACAGUGUGGACCUCUGCUGCAUCUCCUCACCUCCCUGCUGCUGGACUCCGCCUCCCUGGCCUCCACCACCAGCCCCAGCACUCCUACUACAGUGGCUCCCAUUCACUGCCUUCGCCACUCCCACCGUCUGUCUUUGCAGCAUCCAGCAUGUCACCGUCAGACUCGUUGGCUGGUUGUGACGCCGGUAAAUGAGCAGCUUGAGCACCUUAGAGUUCGAAGGACUCCCAAACUUUGCAUUUUCUUUUUUUUUU